ACGGAGGGUGCAAGCGUUAAUCGGAAUUACUGGGCGUAAAGCGCACGCAGGCGGUUUGUUAAGUCAGAUGUGAAAUCCCCGGGCUCAACCUGGGAACUGCAUCUGAUACUGGCAAGCUUGAGUCUCGUAGAGGGGGGUAGAAUUCCAGGUGUAGCGGUGAAAUGCGUAGAGAUCUGGAGGAAUACCGGUGGCGAAGGCGGCCCCCUGGACGAAGUCUGGCGCUCAUGUGCGAAACUGUGGGGCGCCACCAG
rnacentral:rRNA from 1 species